rnacentral:rRNA from 1 species
CCUACGGGUGGCAGCAGUGAGGAAUAUUGGUCAAUGGACGAAAGUCUGAACCAGCCAAGUAGCGUGAAGGAUGACUGCCCUAUGGGUUGUAACCUUCUUUUAUAUGGGAAUAAAACAGGGUAUGCAUACCCUCUUGUAUGUACCAUAUGAAUAAGGAUCGGCUAACUCCGUGCCAGCAUCCGCGGUAAUACGGAGGUUUCGAGCGUUAUCCGGGUUUAUUGGGUUUAAAGGGAGCGUAGCUGGGUUGUCAAGUCAGUUGUGAAAGUUUGCGGCUCAACCGUAAAAUUGCAGUUGAAACUGGCAGUCUUGAGUACAGGAGAGGUAGACGGAAUUCGUGGUGUAGCGGUGAAAUGCUUAGAUAUCACGAAGAACACCGGUUGCGAAGGCAGCUCACUGGACUGCAACUGACACUGAUGCUCGAAAGUGUGGGUAGCAAACAGGAUUAGAUACCCCAGUAGUC